rnacentral:lncRNA from 1 species
UACUUCCCCAUCAAAAUUUGAUCUUCUCAGGACAGGUAAGUUAUUCACAUUCUAAAAUUCUCCUAGGGCUAGUGAUUUGUUGGCCUUUCAUAUGCAAUCCUGAAUUAGUUUCAUAUCUGGUACUUACUAUGCAAACAUCUUUGUUUCUUCUUUCUAUUUGCAUUUCUUUAUGCCGAGGCCUUUCCUUCAUCCUAGAUUAAUGCUCUGCUAGUAAUUCACGCUUC